AUGAACGCUGGCGGCGUGCCUAAUACAUGCAAGUCGAGCGAACAGACGAGGAGCUUGCUCCUCUGACGUUAGCGGCGGACGGGUGAGUAACACGUGGAUAACCUACCUAUAAGACUGGGAUAACUUCGGGAAACCGGAGCUAAUACCGGAUAAUAUAUUGAACCGCAUGGUUCAAUAGUGAAAGACGGUUUUGCUGUCACUUAUAGAUGGAUCCGCGCCGCAUUAGCUAGUUGGUAAGGUAACGGCUUACCAAGGCAACGAUGCGUAGCCGACCUGAGAGGGUGAUCGGCCACACUGGAACUGAGACACGGUCCAGACUCCUACGGGAGGCAGCAGUAGGGAAUCUUACGCAAUGGGCGAAAGCCUGACGGAGCAACGCCGCGUGAGUGAUGAAGGUCUUCGGAUCGUAAAACUCUGUUAUUAGGGAAGAACAAAUGUGUAAGUAACUAUGCACGUCUUGACGGUACCUAAUCAGAAAGCCACGGCUAACUACGUG
rnacentral:rRNA from 1 species